rnacentral:rRNA from 1 species
GAUGAACGCUGGCGGCGUGCCUAAUACAUGCAAGUCGAGCGAACAGACGAGGAGCUUGCUCCUCUGACGUUAGCGGCGGACGGGUGAGUAACACGUGGAUAACCUACCUAUAAGACUGGGAUAACUUCGGGAAACCGGAGCUAAUACCGGAUAACAUGUUGAACCGCAUGGUUCAACAGUGAAAGACGGUCUUGCUGUCACUUAUAGAUGGAUCCGAGCCGCAUUAGCUAGUUGGUAAGGUAACGGCUUGCCAAGGCAACGAUGCGUAGCCGACCUGAGAGGGUGAUCGGCCACACUGGAACUGAGACACGGUCCAGACUCCUACGGGAGGCAGCAGUAGGGAAUCUUCCGCAAUGGGCGAAAGCCUGACGGAGCAACGCCGCGUGAGUGAUGAAGGUCUUCGGAUCGUAAAACUCUGUUAUUAGGGAAGAACAAAUGUGUAAGUAACUAUGCACGUCUUGACGGUGCCUAAUCAGAAAGCCACGGCUAACUACGUG